UUGGAAACACCUGGCUGGACCCGCACCUGUGCUUUCCAGCUACUCCUAGAGCCUCCGGGCCCCAGGAAGGCGGCGUGAUCUCUGGAGCCAGCUAUUUCCCGCAGCCUGAACCUCCCAGCUCCAGCUAGAAAAUCCCCAGCUGGAGGCUGCCCAUUCCGGAGCUGAGGCAGAAUCAUGUGAACUCCAAUCUGGUGUCAGGCUGGGCGGUUGCCGAGGAACCACUCGCCAGCCAGAGGCUGAGGGCGGCGGAACGGCUCCCUGCACGCAUCCUCCCCUGCUCUCCGUGCCACCAGAGUCAGUGAGCAGCGGCCGGGAAUGUGAGAGCCUGAACUAGGGGCGGGUGCCCUCAGAUCUGCACUGGGGGUGGAAGAGGAGGGGGUGUGCUAAUUCUACCCACUAAACCACCUUUGAGCACCUACAGGAUACCAGGAUCCAGGCAAGGGUGGGGGAAGCCGCCAGCAUCUGGGUCAGUGGAGUUCAACCCUGGCCACACGCUUGAGAACAUACCUGGGGGCCUAUAAAAAAAAAAACCCAUGCCCGGGCCCCACCCAGGGCUGGGGAAAUCACACUUCCUGGAAGUGAGGCGCCAGCAUCAAUGGUUUUAAAGCUCCCUGGACCAUCAUAAAGAGCAGUGAAGGUGGGGAACCAUGGAUGUCGUGAGGCAGGUAGGAUCCUGUUUGGCAGAGCAGCAGAGCGAAGGCAGUGGAGCCAAGGCUGUGGGCAUGAGUAAGGAUAAGCACCCCCGGGGACCAGCAAGCUGCCCCAGCCCCUCUGCCAGCAGCACCUGCCCUACUGCACUUGGAGUAAGGACCAGCCUUCGGGAUGAAGAAGGAGGGCUGCAGCACAGACCACAGACCUGGACGUUGCCAUGGCAACCCCUGGGGCCUGCCGCCCCCACUGCCUGCAGAGUGCUCCAGCCCAUCAAUUAAUAACCUAAUAAUGUAUGACAACAGUCACUCCAAACACACAGGAAGCAGCCCCCUCGAGAAACAAACAGACUUCUCCAGCGACUCAAGAGCUUCAAAGAUGCUCAUUACAAUCAACCCUGGGCCACUUGCUCAAAUCUACUUUCUUGAAUCCAAAUUGCUUUCUCAUUGGCUUCUCCCUCUUGUUUUUUAAAGGCCCAGGGUUGACAAAGCUGGGGACUGAAGCCUCAGAGGUUCCAGAGAAAAGGAUGCUAGAGAGGCCGCUGGGUAGGUCGCCCGUUCCCUCAACCCUGCCAGGC